rnacentral:rRNA from 1 species
CCUACGGGUGGCAGCAGUGGGGAAUAUUGGACAAUGGGCGAAAGCCUGAUCCAGCCAUGCCGCGUGUGUGAAGAAGGCCUUCGGGUUGUAAAGCACUUUCAGUGGGGAAGAAAGCCUUGGGGCUAAUACCCUCGAGGAAGGACAUCACCCACAGAAGAAGCACCGGCUAACUCCGUGCCAGCAGCCGCGGUAAUACGGAGGGUGCGAGCGUUAAUCGGAAUUACUGGGCGUAAAGCGCGCGUAGGCGGUCUGAUAAGCCGGUUGUGAAAGCCCCGGGCUCAACCUGGGAACGGCAUCCGGAACUGUCAGGCUAGAGUGCAGGAGAGGAAGGUAGAAUUCCCGGUGUAGCGGUGAAAUGCGUAGAGAUCGGGAGGAAUACCAGUGGCGAAGGCGGCCUUCUGGACUGACACUGACGCUGAGGUGCGAAAGCGUGGGUAGCAAACAGGAUUACAUACCCCUGUAGUC